AGUGAACGCUGGCGGUAGGCCUAACACAUGCAAGUCGAACGGCCGCACAGUAAGAGCUUGCUCUUACGGGUGGCGAGUGGCGGACGGGUGACGAAUACAUCGGAAUCUACUUUUUCGUGGGUGAUAACGUAGGGAAACAUACGCUAAUACCGCAUACGACCUACGGGUGAAAGCAGGAGAUCUUCGCACCUUGCGCGAUUGAAUGAGCCGAUGUCGGAUUAGCUAGUUGGCGGGGUAAAGGCCCACCAAGGCGACGAUCCGUAGCUGGGCUGAGAGGAUGAUCAGCCACACUGGAACUGAGACACGGUCCAGACUCCUACGGGAGGCAGCAGUGGGGAAUAUUGGACAAUGGGCGCAAGCCUGACCCAGCCAUACCGCGUGAGUGAAGAAGGCCUUCGGGUUGUAAAGCCCUUUUGUUGGGAAAGAAAAGCAGCAGGUGAAUACCCGGCUGUUUUGACGGUACCCAAAGAAUAAGCACCGGCUAACUUCGUG
rnacentral:rRNA from 1 species